UACGAAGGGGGCUAGCGUUGUUCGGAAUUACUGGGCGUAAAGGGCGCGUAGGCUGUGCUGUAAGUCAGGCGUGAAAGCCCCUGGCUCAACCUGGGAACUGCAUUUGUGACUGUAGAGCUGGAGUACGGUAGAGGGGGAUGGAAUUCCGCGUGUAGCAGUGAAAUGCGUAGAUAUGCGGAGGAACACCGAUGGCGAAGGCAAUCCCCUGGACCUGUACUGACGCUCAUGCACGAAAGCGUGGGGAGCAAACAGG
rnacentral:rRNA from 1 species